rnacentral:rRNA from 1 species
AUACAGAGGGUGCGAGCGUUAAUCGGAAUUACUGGGCGUAAAGCGCGCGUAGGCGGCUAAUUAAGUCAAAUGUGAAAUCCCCGAGCUUAACUUGGGAAUUGCAUUCGAUACUGGUUAGCUAGAGUGUGGGAGAGGAUGGUAGAAUUCCAGGUGUAGCGGUGAAAUGCGUAGAGAUCUGGAGGAAUACCGAUGGCGAAGGCAGCCAUCUGGCCUAACACUGACGCUGAGGUGCGAAAGCAUGGGGAGCAAACAGGAUUAGAGACCCGAGUAGUCC